rnacentral:misc_RNA from 1 species
CUUAUCAAGAGGUGACGAAACUCUUCCUCGAGCCUCGACAUAGCGACCUGGACAGCAGUCUCGGCCCGGUCAAUGAUCUCGUUAUCAGACCGGAUAGACAACUCAUCCAACAAGUCGAGAAUUUCGUCGACAGCAGUAAGAUAUUCAGCGGCUUCUUCGGGCGCUUCAUCCCAAGUUGGGGCAGAGUGGCGGGCGGAAUCCCAACGGAGAAUAACCUU